rnacentral:rRNA from 1 species
GACGAACGCUGGCGGCGUGCUUAACACAUGCAAGUCGAACGGAAAGGCCCUGCUUUUGUGGGGUGCUCGAGUGGCGAACGGGUGAGUAACACGUGAGUAACCUGCCCUUGACUUUGGGAUAACUUCAGGAAACUGGGGCUAAUACCGGAUAGGAGCUCCUGCUGCAUGGUGGGGGUUGGAAAGUUUCGGCGGUUGGGGAUGGACUCGCGGCUUAUCAUCUUGUUGGUGGGGUAGUGGCUUACCAAGGCUUUGACGGGUAGCCGGCCUGAGAGGGUGACCGGCCACAUUGGGACUGAGGUACGGCCCAGACUCCUACGGGAGGCAGCAGUGGGGAAUAUUGCACAAUGGGCGGAAGCCUGAUGCAGCAGCGCCGCGUGCGGGAUGACGGCCUUGGGGUUGUAAACCGCUUUCGCCUGUGACGAAGCGUGAGUGACGGUAAUGGGUAAAGAAGCACCGGCUAACUACGUG